UACGUAGGGUGCAAGCGUUGUCCGGAAUUACUGGGCGUAAAGGGCUCGUAGGCGGCCAACUAAGUCAGACGUGAAAUCCCUCGGCUUAACCGGGGAACUGCGUCUGACACUGGAUGGCUUGAGUUUGGGAGAGGGAUGCGGAAUUCCAGGUGUAGCGGUGAAAUGCGUAGAUAUCUGGAGGAACACCGGUGGCGAAGGCGGCAUCCUGGACCAACACUGACGCUGAGUGAGCGAAAGCCAGGGGAGCAAACGGG
rnacentral:rRNA from 1 species